AAUGAUAAUAGAGAUGUAGAAUCUAUUCAAAACCAAAUUCCAGCUAUUGUCAUAAAUAUUGUAUUACCUUUAAGUAUUAUGAAAACAAAAUAAAUCUUUCUAGUGAUCAUUGUACAUUUUUAUAUCUAUUUCGGUAGCAGGCUAUCCAACUGUAUCUUUCCCUUAUAUUAAAAAUUCUGAUCACUUCAAGGAUAUCUAGAGUUGUAAACAGUUGUUGGACUAGCUUCAUGGAAAUAAAGAAUUGCAAUCUAGAGUUGUCAAAAUAUCCAAACAAGGAUUCAAAAUUAAUGAACAAAGGCUCACGUAUGUA
rnacentral:lncRNA from 1 species